UACGUAGGGUGCAAGCGUUGUCCGGAAUUAUUGGGCGUAAAGAGCUCGUAGGCGGUUUGUUGCGUCGGCUGUGAAAACCUGAGGCUCAACCUCAGGCCUGCAGUCGAUACGAGCAGACUAGAGUGUUGCAGGGGAGACUGGAAUUCCUGGUGCAGCGGUGAAAUGCGCAGAUAUCAGGAGGAACACCGGCGGCGAAGGCGGGUCUCUGGGCAACAACUGACGCUGAGGAGCGAAAGCGUGGGGAGCGAACAGG
rnacentral:rRNA from 1 species